AACAAACUUCAAUUUGAAAAGUUUAAUUUGCUACUAUAAUUGGAGAUGCUCAUAAGCAUUAGCCAUAUACUCUCCCUUCCCCUCAUUUACUAACCAUUUUCUCUCCCUAACUAUUCAGAGCAGCCCUUUCAUAUUUCACAAUUUUUUCUUCCCCCCCCCGGUUCCUCUCUCUCUAAAAACAAGAAUAAGUUGAAGACUAUGCUCUGCUUUCUGGAAAUUGAAGGAGCUACUGUAGGUUUCUAUUGUGAGCAUUCAAAACGGCAAAGUUUUUACAUAUCCUAUUCUGUAUGUAUUUACUAUUUGAACCCGUAUAUAUGUUCCACCUUACAGAAUGAUAUAGAAUGGUAUAAAAAUAAUUCAAAAGGAAUAUUCCUCAGCCUCAUCAUCCAUAUCCAGAACAGCUUGGCAUGUCGUUGGUCUCGCGAGCUGUCCUCUUGCUAAAGCUUGGUCCUUGGUGCCUUGAUUGUUUUCCUGGAUGUUUUGCUGUUUGUACGGAAAAUCAUAUGAACAAAGUUAAUCAUCGCUUUGAAGUGAUAUGAUUCUGGAGAGGCCAAUAAUCACUUUUAUGAAGAAUCAAUUCUCCAAAUAAUCAUUUUAAAUGAAGAAGCACAAGGGAGGUACUUCUCUCUAGAAUCACUUAAAAUCACUAAAAGCGAUUUUCUGAAGAAAGCACAUGGGAGAUGUUUCUUCUGCUAGAAUCACUCUAUUUUAUCAGAACUACGAUUCUUUUUUUGUUUUGGUUUUUAUUUUUAUUUUAAAUUUGAAAGUUUUUCCUUUUUUUUUUUUUUUUUUCUUCUUUCAACAUUUCAUUUUAAGAAAUGUAAAUGAUUUUUCAGAGGUUAAUUGGUGUUCAACGUCUCAAAUUUUGUAGGGCACAUUGUGUGAUUAAAUGUAAUAUAUAUAUAUAUAUAAUAUAAUAUAAAAUAUAUAGUCUAAAUUAUUCUAAAUUAAUCUAAUGUACGAAAAGGCAUUCAAACUUAGAUACAGGGGACGCCCUGACCAACGUACAUAUGCAAUUGAAUAAUUUUUAAAUUGAAAUAUUAGUCUCUAAACCUUACUCGCAAUGGUGGCAUUGGUUCUCUCAUCUUUUACCCACUUCAGACAUUAGAGAUAAACUAUGGGAGCAAAUAUUCCGGCUUCCACAAAGUGCCACGUGGAUAAAAAGAAUAUCCUCCUAAGUCAGUAAUUGAGCCCAUUUAUAUG